rnacentral:rRNA from 1 species
GAAUAUUGGACAAUGGGCGAAAGCCUGAUCCAGCAAUGCCGCGGGUGUGAAGAAGGUCUUCGGAUUGUAGAGCACUUUAAGUGGGGCGGAAGGGCAGUAAAUUAAUACUUUGCUGUUUUGACGUUACCGACAGCAUAAGCACCGGCUAACUCUGUGCCCGCAGCCGCGGUAAUACAGAGGGUGCAAUAGUUAAUAGGAAUUACUGGGCGUCAAUCGCUCGUAGGUGGUUUGUUAAGUUGGAUGUGAAAUCCCCGGGCUCAACCUGGGAACUGCAUCCAAAACUGGCAAGCUAGAGUAUGGUAGAGGGUGGUGGAAUUUCCUGUGUAGCGGUGAAAUGCGUAGAUAUAGGAAGGAACACCAGUGGCGAAGGCGACCACCUGGACUGAUACUGACACUGAGGUGCGAAAGCGUGGGGAGCAAACA